rnacentral:rRNA from 1 species
CCUACGGGAGGCAGCAGUGGGGAAUAUUGGACAAUGGGCGAAAGCCUGAUCCAGCAAUGCCGCGUGAGUGAUGAAGGCCUUAGGGUCGUAAAGCUCUUUUACCCGGGAUGAUAAUGACAGUACCGGGAGAAUAAGCCCCGGCUAACUCCGUGCCAGCAGCCGCGGUAAUACGGAGGGGGCUAGCGUUGUUCGGAAUUACUGGGCGUAAAGCGUGCGUAGGCGGUUAUUCAAGUCAGAGGUGAAAGCCCGGGGCUCAACCCCGGAACGGCCUUUGAAACUAGGUAGCUAGAAUCUUGGAGAGGUCAGUGGAAUUCCGAGUGUAGAGGUGAAAUUCGUAGAUAUUCGGAAGAACACCAGUGGCGAAGGCGACUGACUGGACAAGUAUUGACGCUGAGGCACGAAAGCGUGGGGAGCAAACAGGAUUAGAUACCCUGGUAGUCCACGCCGUAAACGAUGAUAACUAGCUGUUCGGGUACUUGGUAUCUGAGUGGCGCAGCUAACGCAUUAAGUUAUCCGCCGUGGGGAGUACGGUCGCAAGAUUAAAACGUUAAAGGAAUUGACGG